AAGUCGAUCGGUAACGCGGGGCAACCUGGCGACGAGAGGCGGACGGGUGAGUAACGCUUGGGAAUCUACCUACUAAUGGGGGACAACCCGGGGAAACUCGGGCUAAUACCGCAUACGCACUACGGUGGAAGCCGGGGACCGCAAGGCCUGGCGUUAGUAGAUGAGCCCAAGUCGGAUUAGCUAGUUGGCGGGGUAACGGCCCACCAAGGCGACGAUCCGUAGCUGGUCUGAGAGGACGACCAGCCACACCGGAACUGAGACACGGUCCGGUCUCCUACGGGAGGCAGCAGUGGGGAAUAUUGGACAAUGGGGGAAACCCUGAUCCAGCGACGCCGCGUGGGUGAAGAAGGCCUGCGGGUUGUAAGGCCCUUUCGGUGGGGAAGAAAAGUUGUCGUUUAAUAAACGACGACCUUGACGUAACCCACUAAAGAAGCACCGGCUAACUCUGUGCCAGCAGCCGCGGUAAUACAGAGGGUGCGAGCGUUAAUCGGAAUUACUGGGCGUAAAGCGCGCGUAGGCGGUUUGGCAAGUCGGAUGUGAAAUCCCCAGGCUUAACCUGGGAACUGCAUUCGAGACUGCGUUACUAGAGUAUGGGAGAGGGAAGUGGAAUUUCCGGUGUAGCGGUGAAAUGCGUAGAUAUCGGAAGGAACAUCAGUGGCGAAAGCGACUUCCUGGACCAAUACUGACGCUCAUGUGCGAAAGCGUGGGGAGCAAACAGGAUUAGAUACCCUGGUAGUCCACGCCAUAAACGAUGAGAACUGGAUGUCGAGGGGGUCUGCCUCUCGGUGUCGUAGCUAACGCGUUAAGUUCUCCGCCUGGGGAGUACGGCC
rnacentral:rRNA from 1 species